GCAUAAUCAUUUGCCGUUUAAUUGAUGGCUGGAAUGAAUGAAUAUACGAGAGCUAAGCUGUCUCAUUUUUAAAAAUAAAAAUUGACCCUCAAGUGAAGAGACUUGAAUAAAAAAAAAAGACGAAAAGACCCUAUAGAGCUUUACCUAAAAUUCAUAUAUUAUUUAUUAAAGGUUUAGUUGGGGCAACUAGAGAGAACCUAAAACCUCUCUACUUUAAAACUAUUAUGAUCCGUUUUUACGAAAAGUAGAAAAAGCUACCUUAGGGAUAACAGGCUAAUCCUCUUUAAGAGACCAUAUUGACAAGAGGGA
rnacentral:rRNA from 1 species